rnacentral:rRNA from 1 species
UACGUAGGGGCUAGCGUUAUCCGGAAUUACUGGGCGUAAAGGGUGCGUAGGCGGAUAUGUAAGUCAGCGGUGAAACUCACAGGCUCAACCUGUGCCGUGCCGUUGAAGCUGUGUAUCUGGAAUGCGGAUGCUGUGGGAGGAAUGUGUAGUGUAGCGGCGAAAUGCAUAGAUAUUACACAGAACACCGAUUGCGAAGGCAUCUCACAAAGCCGUUAUUGACGCUGAGGCACGAAAGUGUGGGGAUCAAA